UGAUCCUGGUUCAGGGACGAACGCUGGCGGCGUGCCUAACACAUGCAAGUCGAACGGAGAAUUUCAAUAAGUUUACUUAGAGAAAUUUUUAGUGGCGGACGGGUGAGUAACGCGUGGGUAACCUACCCAUAAAGCCGGGACAACCCUUGGAAACGAGGGCUAAUACCGGAUAAGCUUAAGAGUUGGCAUCAACUCAUAAGAAAAGGUGGCCUCUGAAAAUGCUACCGAUUAUGGAUGGACCCGCGUCUGAUUAGCUAGUUGGUGGGGUAAAGGCCUACCAAGGCGACGAUCAGUAGCCGGCCUGAGAGGGUGAACGGCCACACUGGGACUGAGACACGGCCCAGACUCCUACGGGAGGCAGCAGUGGGGAAUCUUCCGCAAUGGACGAAAGUCUGACGGAGCAACGCCGCGUGUAUGAUGAAGGUCUUCGGAUUGUAAAGUACUGUCUUUGGGGAAGAAUGUCAGGUUUGAGAAUAUUGAGCCUGAAUGACGGUACCCAAGGAGGAAGCCCCCGGCUAACUACGUGCCAGCAGCCGCGGUAAUACGUAUGGGGCAAGCGUUGUCCGGAAUUAUUGGGCGUAAAGGGCGCGUAGCGGAUACUUAAGUCCGGUGUGAAAGAUCAGGGCUCAACCCCUGAGAGUGCAUCGGAAACUGGGUAUCUUGAGGACAGGAGAGGAA
rnacentral:rRNA from 1 species